AAUCAACGCUGGCGGCGUGCCUAACACAUGCAAGUCGAACGCGAAGGUCCCGCAAGGGAUCAGUAGAGUGGCAAACGGGUGAGUAACGCGUGGGUGACCUACCUCUGAGUGGGGGAUAACCUUCCGAAGGAGGGCUAAUACCGCAUGACAUCCCGUGGUUGGAUACACGGACAUCAAAGCCGGGGAUCGCAAGACCUGGCGCUUGGAGAGGGGCCCGCGUCCGAUUAGCAGUUGGUGAGGUCACGGCUCACCAA
rnacentral:rRNA from 1 species